UACGUAGGGUGCAAGCGUUAAUCGGAAUUACUGGGCGUAAAGCGUGCGCAGGCGGUUCUAUAAGACAGAUGUGAAAUCCCCGGGCUCAACCUGGGAACUGCAUUUGUGACUGUAGAGCUGGAGUACGGCAGAGGGGAUGGAAUUCCGCGUGUAGCAGUGAAAUGCGUAGAUAUGCGGAGGAACACCGAUGGCGAAGGCAAUCCCUGGGCCUGUACUGACGCUCAUGCACGAAAGCGUGGGAGCAAACAGG
rnacentral:rRNA from 1 species